rnacentral:lncRNA from 1 species
CGGCCACCUCGAGUGGCCCCUCGAUCUCGUCCAGCGUGUAGGUGAGCCGGGUCAUGAGCUUGGUCUUCUGGAACUCGGGCGGCGCGUUCUUGGCGAUGCCCUCGGCUUUCACGGUGAAGGAGGUGGGUUCCAGGCAGAACUUCUUCAUCUCGUACUUGCCGGCCUUGAAGGGGAAGGCGUCGACCCCGCCGUCGAUGGUCGGGCACUGGUUGGCUGUCCCCGUCCCCUUGACCUCCAUGUACGUCUUGCUCUGGAUCUCGUCGAAGGUCAGCCGCUUCGGCGCCCCCUCCGCGCUCGCGCCCUGCUCGACAGAAUGCCCACCCUCCGUUAGUUUCUAGCGACCGGAGGCGUAGAAGAUGAAGUGAUGGAAACAUCCAUGGGCAGUUAGAUUUACCGAGACGAGGAGGGCGGAGGUGGCGAGGGCGAAGCCGGCGAGCUUGGCGGCGUCGGCGCACUUGGUGGCGACCUCGCGGAGGUCGGAGGUGAGGGAGCAGGAGAUGGUCCGGGCGGCGUGCGAGGAAGGGCGCGCGGAGGAAGGGAGCAGCACGGCGGAGGAGGAGGAGGCGGAGCGGCCCAUCUUGGCCGGCUGCAUCAGGGUGGCGGCGGCCUGGAGAGACGCUGCCAUGGCUGCUGCUUGGUAGGGGGGGAUCGGUGGAGCUCGUGGUUGAGAGGCGUGUUGUCAGGGCGGGUCAAGUGUUAUCUAUGCGCGGGCAAGGAUCGGGGGCGCGGAUAAGAGGCGGCUUCCCAUUGGUGGCUGCUGGAUAAGAAUAUCAUCCGUUUAUUUCCGUGGCCACCAGCCAGUCAUUUCUUCUCCUCUUUGCCCAUCCAGAGUCCGGACUAGCCACAGCCACAGGCUCCUGGGCAAAGCCAGGCCCAGGGCGCGCCCAGCGCGCGCACCGGCACGCCCCGUCGCCAUCUCCUCUUGCCCAUCCCGGCAUCAACAGAAUAAGUUAUUUCCACGGUUUCUCAAUCUCGCCGCCGAAUGUCAUGAACGUACGCGGGGAAGCGCAAUGUGUAGAGACCACCGCAGCCGCCAUGAACGGCACCCACCGCGAUCGACCACUGCUCGCGAACAAAUUAAAUCUCGUACCUUGUCAACCAACCAAACAUAAUGAUCCCGCACAUUGCUCGAUAAAACUCGAACAUGCUCCAUUAAACACUCGGACCACAAUAUUCCGCUGUCUUAAAGCCGCCGUCGCCGGAACAGUACGGCUGGCGAUCGAACUCGCCGCCGUCCGCUACACUACACGCAAAAACAGAGCAAACACGGAAGCGCUCUUCUCGAAAAAAAAAAAAAAGAAGAAGAAGAAGAAGAAAAGAACGGAAGCGCUCUGUUCUGAUUCUUGGCCGGGCCACAUCGUGGCUCUCGAGCCCUUCCAAAUGGCCUCACCUCCCGAUGAAGCCCGUAGUGUCAGACCUUUUUUUUUUUCCUUUUUUUUUUAAAUAGAUAUCUGUACCUAAUAAUAAAAGCAGCAGUGUUUUCGUGGCUGGGUUUCGUCCGUCGGACCGGUUUUGCGUUUUAGCCCUUCUUUUUUUCAAGAAUCAACGCGCACUCCGGACAAAACUGGGUUUCCUGCAAAAAACUGGGCUUUUCCGCAAUUUGCCCUCUCUCCUGCUACGGGCUCGAACUGCGCCGCCACCUCCGCGCGCGUCUGGCCUCCAUGGACCGCCGCGCACGCCGUCGCGGGGCUCCGUAACCGCUUCCAAGUACUCACGGCGGGCUUCCAGACCAUCUGCCGACCGCCGCGCCGACGCGGCCCGCGGCUACCUCGUCGUGGCUGGCAAGGCCCCCACCGAGGACCAGCUGGACCGACUCCUUGACGCCGGCAGCAGAACCACCGAGGACCAGCACAGUCUCCGUAGAACGAGGCGCAGCCCCUGCCGCAGAUGUGGACAGCAGCAGGCGACCAGUAGGCUUGCCCAUCGGCCGCAUCUCCAUACGCAUCUCCUUGCCGUCACAGCAUCUCAUAUUCCCAUCCCCUCUCCCAAAUCCUCCUGCCGUCGCCUGGACUCCCUUUGCCCACCACUGAAGUUUGACUAACUUCUCCCUCUCCCUUUCCCACCACCACCAACGACCAACCAGCUACCUGUCCUACCCCCUCGCGGCCACUGUUGUCGUCCCGCCGCCACUCGCCGUGGCGGCAACCUAGCCAGCCAACAGCAGAAUCGUUCGGCGUUCCGCGGGCGCGGCCGGUGCUCCCCCCGCCCUUACCCUUACUCAUCUGUUUCGAAUUGAGCAUUGGAAUUUUUCCUGUUCAUGAGAAUGUUCACAUGGCACUUUAAUGCCAGAAAUAUAGAGUUUAAAGUUGAUGUCUAAGAGGAUAAGAGGAAUGAUCUUGAUCUGAAUUUCAACCUUGGUACAACCUUCAGUCUGAAUACUCCCAUUGUUUCUUAAGCACUGUAAAUAAACUAACCUUGCUAUUGCUAUCCUAAUGCUGACAUGUGAUUUAUUUCCAUUUGCAGCUUUCGUGCUUAAAUCAAUUGUCACAUUGUUGGAGUUCAGAUAUAUGUCAUAGAAUAAGAGAUGUUCACUUUGGCUGUUCAAAAAUGAUGCCAUAUGUUUGUUAGAUUCAGAGUCAAACAAAUCAAGUUCAUGAGUCAUUUUGUAAUUCACCCUGAACUAUGUCUGAUGCAUUCAGUGCAAUUUUGCCCAACAUCUUAUUUACUCCUGAGCUGAAAUCACUAGACCUCAGGACAUGACGAAACAAGAUGCCAACAGGAUUAAUUCCUGCAACAAGCAAAGUUAUCCUAAUAGCAUCAACUAUUAUGGAAUUAAAUGAAAGUAAAAGGAAUUUGAAUAUACUCUUCUUUUUCUUGGUAGAUUUCUUUGCUGGAUGCAAGCUAACAAAAUUUAGCAAACCUUUAUUGUUUUUUCAGGCUUGCUCACUAAACCUCACAUUUCUUGCCACUUGCAUAUAUAGUAUGGUGCAACAAUGGUAAUCCUAUGCGGAUCUUUUGUUACAUUCAUGUGGGUUUAGGGAUUUGUCAGUAAAUUAGGAAUUACCAUAGAAAUAUUAUUAAAUCGUUUAUGUGAAGAAUUUUCUUGCGGAGGAGUUCAACUACCAUAUUAGAUGUAUAGCGUGCUUUGUGUACUUGUCUUUAGGUUGAUUUCAUUACAGGAUUAUGAUAUUUUGAAUGUACAGUCCAGUUUCCAGAUUUUAAUCAUGGCGAAUUGCAUGGCCUUUCAGAUGCUAACGUUAUGAUACCCGCUGCAUAGCUUUUACUCCAUAUUUUUGUAAGUUGACAUUUUUGUCCAAUCUCAGUAAAUAUGCUCGGAUACCACAACAAUGCACGAUAUCCUUUUAUCUUAGUAACCCUGUUAGUGUGUUUAGUUCGGCGAGAUUUGGAUAUUCCAAAGUCCUCUGGAAAACAUGCUCUUAAAAUUUUAUGGUAGCAUCUCUGAACAUGUUUGUGGAAGUUAUUUGUUAUUCCAGUCUGAAUUGGAUGAGCAAAGUAUUUGUUUUGGACUAGAGUGCAUAUGGGUUAUUUCAAUUGUAGUAUUUUUGUGUUUUGUUCAUGUGUUCAAGUGCUAGGUCAAUAUAAUACAGUUUGUGCAGCACACAAACCACACUUGACUGUACAUUUAGGAAGUAAUGGCACUUUGAUUAAUACACAUUGUUCCAUUCAUUUCGACUGAAUGUCAAAUUAUGACGUCUUUUUCGGUAAACGUAAAUUCUGUGUGCAUAUGUUUAAAAGACCGUGGCAACGCACGGGCACUGUACUAGUGGAGUAAUAAUGUUCAUUACAGUGCAGAAAAACAUCUAUCAGAGACACAACGAUAACAUAAUAAUUUAUUACAGUGCAGAAAAACAUAUACAUGCAAAGAUAAUAUAACUAGAUAGAUAAAAGCAGUCGGUAAACCAGGCGGCGCCUCCAAUCCAUCAUGGUGCGGUAACCCAUUUAUGCACCAUAACGGAGUUUUUUCUUCACCUUUCAUGGGGGCAUCUCCUUAGGGCAUCUCCAAGGGCGAGCUCCCAUUUGUCCUCCCCAUUUGUCCAUUUGAGGGGCCUUUGGACAAAUGGAGGUGAGAAAAAUAUCAAGUUGUCCAAUGGCAACCCCUCAUUUAUCUCUCCAUGAGUCUCUGAAAUGUGAUCCAAGAAGAUAAGUGGACAAUAUUUAGAUGAGUUUUGCACAAAUGGGGACUCCCCGUACUCUCCCCAAAUUUGGGGAAGAAAUGGGGAGUGUUGAUCGCUUUUGGAUAAAUGGGGGUUUCAUUGGGUUGUAUAUUUUGCUCAUGGACCCUCACAUGGACAGAUUUGGACAAAUGGGGAGUAUUUGGGGGUUUCCUUUGAAGAUAACCUUACAAACGAGAACAGCGAGUUAUGAUGUGGCACAUGAUGCUAUAAUAAGGAUCUGGAAUAUCUUUUUCUUCUGCGAUUAUUACUCCAUCCGUUGCUUGUGAUAAUGUGCCAUGCAUUACUGAGGUGGUAUUGACUAGAUAAAUUUUGGACUCGCGCAAGACAAUGGUGUCAGGCACAUUGGUAGGAAACAGCUUAGAGCUUACACAGAGUGACCUCCUAGUCCUACCAACGAAGAGUGCAUUGCCAUUUUACAAGGUCAAACCUCAAGCCCGAGCCCGGCCCGGCCCCGAAACCCCAAAAAUAUGUCAUUUAAGCAUUAAAAUAAUUAUUUUCGGAAUAAAUAAAUGUAUUUUUAUACUUAUUUUUCCUAAAAAAUACUCAACUUAAGCCAUUUCGGGCUUUCGGGCCCAGAAAAGUGAAGCCCAAGCCUGGCCCGGUACACCGGGCUUCGGGCCGGGCCACCCAUGCCCAGGUAUAAUUGCCAUCUAUGGAUGUCAGAGGGACGGUCCUUCUCAUCAUAAGAUCAGCUAGCCUGUAAACUGAAUAGCAAACUGCAUGACAUUUCGUGCCAGUCACCAAAAUCUAGCGGAUGUAGUCCCGGAAGUCGCCGGCUAGCACUCCCCAUCUGAUUAGGCUCACCAAAUCCUCGUGCAGAGACGCCCACGGGGAUGAAUCAUCGCCGGCAGUAACCUUCCACCGCCGGCGCAUACUAUUGCUGCAAGCAACCAAGGCCGCUGGGUGACCCCGAUAACUCCGUGAAGACAUGCCACUGGCAGAGGACCAGCGGCAGAUAUGCAAACUAGGGGUUCACAGCGGCGCCGUAACAGACGGGGGAGGAAACCCUAGGGCUAAGCCGCUGCCUUUUUUUGUUCCUUUCAAGCGCAAUUAGAAGAAUCUGUUCGUUGGCGGAAUUAGUAGUCCCGUACUUUUCCCUGUACAUUCAGAAAAAAAAAUCCUUAAGAAGAGACCUGAGUACCUGCAGUGCUCCCUCCGACAUAUAAUAAGUGCCGGUGAUUUAGUAUGUGAGAGGGAGUAUAUAACAUCCAUAGAAGCCUCGAACGAGCAUGAGAGGAAGAUGGGGGAGUGGCGCUCGGAGGCGCAGCUCCAGACGCUAGCUCCUCUCGCUCUCUGACAAGGAGGCCGAUUGAGCCGGCAAGCUCACCGGCAAACUAUGUCAUUUUAGUUUAAUUUUGGAACACUUUAUCAAUGAAAUUUGGCAAAAGUUCAAAUUUUUAAUGGGGUCGCCCCGCUGUGGUUACCAUGAUUUACAUGUUAUGUUCUUAGUCACACCUCCUGGCGAUGCAAACCAUGCUUUUUAGUUGUUACCAUGCUUGUUUCUUGCCCUUAUGGAAAAAUGUGAACCUGUAGGCUUUGCUGUGUGUAUGUGCUGCUAUGGCAUUGAAGCGGAGAGACGGCGGUUACUGCUCAGAGCUGUGUGGCUCAUUCGUAAUCCUGAGGCUUUACUCUUCGUGGGUUGCAAGAAGCUGCCGCCAGUGAUGAUCAUCCAGAGGACUGAGUCAAUUAUCGGUUAAAAUUGUUCAACCAGCCCAAAUGAAAGGUGAUGGCGGUCAUGCAUAGGUAAAUGAAUCUGCAAAGACAUUUUUCAGAUUAUCAAUCACUUUCCAGUGCGCAGUUUGGUUAUACUCUAUUGUGCAAAGAGGCAAAAUCAGUUCUUACUCAUGAAUCAUUCUUACACUGAAUGCAUUCUUAUAAUGCAGGGAAAGACCAAAUGGUACUAUACUAGCUUUGCUUGUGUUCUGUAGCAUGAAGGUUGAUUGCAAGGAAAAUGGGUCCAGCCAUCUACUAGGAAAACGAAGGUUCAAUCACCUGUGGUAAAUCCUUGCCAUCAAAUUUUCCUAUGAUGUGACGUUAAUGGUGUUACAAAUUGAUUCUGUCUAUAGCAAGGAUAAGGUGGCAUGUUUUCUUUGGAAACUGCUAUUGGAUAGGUGGGUACUGGGAAAGCUUGCUAGAUUUGAUCAAGCCAACUUCUUUAUUCUUGAAUUGCCAUCAUGUCCACUUGUAAGAAUUCCUAGGGAAAAUGCCAUAAAGGGGGUGGCUGGAGGGGGUUCAAAUUCCUUAGUAAAUAAGGAAAUUAAUAAGAAUAAAAAAAACUUGAAAUAUUCUCCCCAUAUAUAGGGAUCACCUUUUUAGCAGCCAUACCGUAGUUACCAUGAUUUGCAUAUUAUGUUCUCACACCUUCUGGCGAUGCAUACCAUGCUUGUUUCAUGCCCUUACGGAAAAUGUGAACUUGUAGGCUUUGCUGUGUGUGUGCUGCUAUGGCAUUUAAGAAGCGGAGAGACGGCGAUUACAUUUGCUCAGAGCUGUGUGGCUCAUUCGUAAUCCUGAGGCUGUACUCUUCGUGGGUUGCAAGAAGUUGCCGCCAAUGAUCCUCAAAAGGAUGGAGUCAAUUAUCAGUUAAAAUUGUUCAACCAGCCCAAAUGAAAGGUAGUCAUGCAUAGGUAAAUGAAUCUGCAAAGACAUUUUUCAGAUUAUGAAUCCACUUACCAGAGUGCAGUUUAAUCCUUAUUCAAUAACCAUUUUGUUAAUAUUAUACUCUAUUGUGCAAAGAGGCAAAAUCAGUUCUUACUCAAGAAUCAUUCUUAUAAUGCAGGAAAGACCAAUUGGUACUGGGCUUUGCUUUGUUUUGUAGCAUGAAGAUUGAUUGCAAGGAAAAUGGGUUCAGCCGUCUAAUAGGAAAACGAAUGUUCAAUCCUUUACCUGUGGUAAACCCUUGCCCAACAAAUAUGCCUAUGAUGUGACGUGAUCGGUGUUAAGAAUUGAUUCUGUCUAUAGCAAGACUGCAAGAAUUGCAAGAUGAGGUGGCAUGUUUUCUUUGGAAACUGCUAUUGGAUAUGUGGGUAGCUUGCUAGUUUUGAUCAAGCCAACUUCUUUAUUCUUGCUAGCCAACUUCUUUAGUCUUGCUAUUUUGAUCAGAAAAGGAAACUACCAUCAUAUCCACUUGCAACAAUUCCUUAAAGCAUAUCCGCUUGUGAGUUGUGUAUACAAAUGUUUUCAUCACAUAUUUAACUUUUUAAAGCAAACUUUUUUUUUGGCUAGCUAGUUUCUUCAGCUAGCUCUUGAAAAAAAACAUAUAACAAAUCCAUCAAUUGUCAGUUUCAGAUACCAUUGCAGAUGAAUAAUCUUGUUUAUCGACAGCAGGAACGUCCAGCAAUGGAAAAACUGAAUGGUGGACUCAACAGAAAAGCUGGAACGAUACAAACAUAUCAAGCAAGGCUACCAACAGCCACAAAAUGAUGCAGAUGCUAUACUAGAAAAGAACUCUGUCCACAUGCAUGGUCCCAGAGGGGGUUGAUGUUAUUCCAAAGCCCUUGUUUUGAAUUCUCAAGUGGUGCUUCAGAUGAUAUUUCUGAUGUGCUACAGCAGAACGAAAAAUGUAAGCCAACAAAGAGAUGACCUGUUUUGACAAGCUUAAGAAUUAAAUAUUAAGCACCUUGAGAUGUUUUGCUGGAUCACUUGAUGGCUGCCCAUGCAUGAUGCAGGUAUUGGUGUGUGUGCCCCAUCGUAGAUCACAAAACCCAACAAACAGGCCAUCUCCAAACACGCCAGGAGUAGUGAAGAGCUUGACUAUAUUUCAGAACUGGAUGGACAGAGCAGACAAACACAACUGAAAACUAUUAUGGCAGCAAUCCAAAUUGGUUUGAAAGCCUAAUAACAAAGGGAAAGUAUCGAUUACCGAUUCGCAUGCACUUAAUCUAGGAAAGUCCAGAUUUCUUUUCGUGCUCAAAAAGUACGUGCUGCAUGCCAAAGAUCGAACCCGGCGCACCGUGCCCACGUGUAACAAUGUUUUCAUUAGAAGAGAACGUGCAGUGGAGACAUGAUCUUCUUUACAUGGUUCAACUGAAUUUUGGAUCCAUCGUAUCAGAAAUUCAGAAUAGAUAUAUAGUUUCGAUGAUCUCUGUCAAAUCAUAUCUUAUAUAUAUACCUCUAUGAGUAGUAUGUAUUUAUUAAUUAUUUCGCAAAAAGUAUGUAUUUAUUAAUUGCAAUAUAUGCAAAAUACCCACGUGCUCAGCAAUUCAUCUUGUUUUAUGAUUUGAUACAAUACAUAUAUACGUGCAAAAUAUUCCAAAAAUAUCUUGCCAAGUUUUUGCAUAUAUAGAAGUACCUAAAUAUACGGAUUUGAUAAGUCGAUUGACAAGCCCAUAAAAUAGAAAGGUUUUACUGCAUCCACGUAUAAUACCAAAGAUACAAUCCCCCCGUGCCUGUAUAUAUUCACACAUCUCCGUCUCGCUUUCUCUCAAGUAAAAUCGUCUAUCUAGUUUAGUCGUAGGAGGUACAUACGCAAUGGUUGUUUUCACGGGGAAUUUGCUGACCUUUUUGCUAUGCAUUUCCCUCUUUGAAGGUUGGUCUCUGCUUCUAGUUUAUUUCUACGCGCGUGUAUAUAGCUCUAAUUUUCGAAAGGUUUCAAGUCUCAUCCUAUUGGCUAUUUUGUAAAAGAAUAUAAUUCUGAAGCUGUAUUUGCCAUGAUGUUUAUGUAUGCAGGUUGGAUGGUCCAGUCGGUUCCGUAUGAUCAUACGGCGAGCAUUGAGGCAAGUCUUUGUUUUCUUUUUCUGCCCGAUCGAUGGAUGUAAAAUUGGCUUGUUUACACAGAAGAAAUCACCUUUUUGCUGCUUACCAGUAGAAACACUUGGCCGAAAAGACAGAUUAGUCAUGCAGGAAUGUUAUCUGGGUUUCACAAUAGAUGGUGUUUUUGCGAGUAAUAUACUUCCUCCAUCCAAUAAAAAAUGUCUCAAGUUUGUCAAAAUUUGAAUGUAUUUAGAUAUGACUUAGGGUGUGUUUGGUUGGUGAGUAGACGAGAAUGGGUUGGUCUCAACCAGAUUUUAAGGACGGGGCAAACCAAAAUUUGUGUUUGGUUAAGAUGAAUGGAGCCAACCAAAUUUGAUGUUUGGUUCGAUAGGUCGUUGCCGAGCGCUGUCAUCUCCUUCAUCUCCGGCCACGUACGCCGCGUCAGACCUCGCCAUC